rnacentral:rRNA from 1 species
AGGACAAACGCUGGCGGCGUACCUAAGACAUGCAAGUCGAACGGGACUUUCCGCCUUUGGUGGGAAGUCGAGUGGCGGACGGGUGAGUAACGCGUGGGAACCUGUCGCGCGGUGGGGGAUACCGCCGGGAAACCGGCGCUAAUACCGCAUAGGUUCAUCGGAAGGUGAACAAAGCAGCAAUGCGCCGUGUGAGGGGCCCGCGUCCGAUUAGCUGGUUGGUGGGGUAACGGCCUACCAAGGCGACGAUCGGUAGCUGGUCUGAGAGGAUGGUCAGCCACACUGGGACUGAGACACGGCCCAGACUCCUACGGGAGGCAGCAGUUAGGAAUAUUCCACAAUGGCCGCAAGGCUGAUGGAGCAACGCCGCGUGCGCGACGAAGCCCUUCGGGGUGUAAAGCGCUUUUCCCAGGGAUGAGAAUGGACAGUACCUGGGGAAUAAGCCUCGGCUAACUACGCGCCAGCAGCCGC